rnacentral:rRNA from 2 species
GGGUUGUGAGGUUAAGCGACUAAGCGUACACGGUGGAUGCCCUGGCAGUCAGAGGCGAUGAAGGACGUGCUAAUCUGCGAUAAGCGUCGGUAAGGUGAUAUGAACCGUUAUAACCGGCGAUUUCCGAAUGGGGAAACCCAGUGUGUUUCGACACACUAUCAUUAACUGAAUCCAUAGGUUAAUGAGGCGAACCGGGGGAACUGAAACAUCUAAGUACCCCGAGGAAAAGAA